GAUGAAGAACGCAGCGAAAUGCGAUAAGUAAUGUGAAUUGCAGUAUUCAGUGAAUCAUCGAAUCUUUGAACGCACCUUGCGCCUUUUGGUAUUCCGAAAGGCACACCUGUUUGAGCGUCAUGAAUACCUCAAUCUCCAUCUUUUCUUCGGAUUGAUGGGUGACUUGGAUGUUGAGCCCUGCUGGUAUGCUAUAUCAGCUGGCUUUAAACUUAUUAGCCGGCUCUGUACUGGAUCGGUUUGACUCGACGUGAUAAUAUUAUCGUUGAGGAUGCAUGUCUCAUGCAGCCGGAAAGUAUCAAAGCAGCUUCUAGCUUGCCUUUAGUGCACUUUUACAUUUUAGACCUCAGAUCAGGUGGGACUACCCGCUGAACUUAAGCAUAUCAAUAAGCGGAGGA
rnacentral:misc_RNA from 1 species